rnacentral:misc_RNA from 1 species
GAUGAAGAACGUAGCGAAAUGCGAUAAGUAAUGUGAAUUGCAGAAUUCAGUGAAUCAUCGAAUCUUUGAACGCACAUUGCGCCCGCCAGUAUUCUGGCGGGCAUGCCUGUUCGAGCGUCAUUUCAACCCUCAGGCCCCCAGUGCCUGGUGUUGGGGAUCGGCCCAGCCUUCCUGUAAGGCCGCCGGCCCCGAAAUCUAGUGGCGGUCUCGCUGUAGUCCUCCUCUGCGUAGUAGCACAACCUCGCACUGGGAAACAGCGCGGCCACGCCGUUAAACCCCCAACUUCUGAACGUUUGACCUCGGAUCAGGUAGGAAUACCCGCUGAACUUAAGCAUAUCAAUAAGCGGAGGA